rnacentral:rRNA from 1 species
AUAAUACUCCAUAGGUCACGAGAUCUGGAAAGACUUGUGGCUCAAAGUUCAGGCGCUCUAGGAUUGGUCUGCGGCCUAUCAGGUAGUAGUGGGUGUAACGGACCCACUAGCCGAUGACGGGUAUGGGCCUUGAGAGAGGGAGCCCAGAGAUGGAUUCUGAGACACGAAUCCAGGCCCUACGGGGCGCAGCAGUCGCGAAAACUUCACAAUGGAGGCAACUCCGAUGAGGGAAUUCCUAGUGCCAAUGCAUUUUGUGUUGGCUUUUCUUCAGCGUAGAUAACUGAUGGAAUAAGGGCUGGGUAAGACGGGUGCCAGCCGCCGCGGUAAUACCCGCAGCCCAAGUGGUGGUCGAUAUUAUUGAGUCUAAAACGUUCGUAGCCGGUUCAAUAAAUCUCUGGGUAAAUCGGAGGGCUCAACCUUCCGAAUUCCGGAGCGACUGUUGAACUUGGGACCGGGAGAGGCAAGAGGUACUUCUGGGGUAGGGGUAAAAUCCUGUAAUCCUAGAAGGACCACCGGUGGCGAAGGCGUCUUGCUAGAACGGAUCCGACGGUGAGGGACGAAGCCCUGGGUCGCAAACGGGAUUAGAUACCCCGGUAGUCCAGGGUGUAAACGCUGCAAACUUGGUGU